UUCAAAGAGGGACAGGACUGACAGACUGAUAGCUCUUUCUCGAUUCUGUGGGUGGUGGUGCAUGGCCAUUCUUAGUUGGUAAAGUGAUUUGUCUGGUUAAUUCCGAUAACGAAGGAGACUCGGGCAGGCUAACUAGUUAUGCGACCCCCGAGCAAAAAAAGAAAAGAAAAUUCAAUGAAGACAGAACAGUCUUUUCAACAAAUUGGUGUUGAAACAUCUGGAUAUCCCCAUGCAGAAGAAUGAAACUGGACUCCUACCUUAUAAAAAAAAAUUAACUCAAAGUGGAUCAUAGACCUAAAAGUCAGGGUUAAAACUAUAAUCCUCCUUGAAGA
rnacentral:ncRNA from 1 species